UACGGAGGGUGCGAGCGUUGUCCGGAAUCACUGGGCGUAAAGGGCGCGUAGGCGGCACGGCAAGCGUGCGGUGAAAGUCCGGGGCUCAACUCCGGAUCUGCGGUGGGUACGGGCAGACUAGAGUGAUGUAGGGGAGACUGGAAUUCCUGGUGUAGCGGUGAAAUGCGCAGAUAUCAGGAGGAACACCGAUGGCGAAGGCGGGUCUCUGGGCAUUAACUGACGCUGAGGAGCGAAAGCAUGGGGAGCGAACAGG
rnacentral:rRNA from 1 species